rnacentral:rRNA from 1 species
CCUACGGGAGGCAGCAGUGGGGAAUAUUGGGCAAUGGAGGAAACUCUGACCCAGCAACGCCGCGUGAAGGAUGAAGGUUUGAGGAGUGGAAACUUCUGUUGCGAGGGAGGAAGAAUGAGGGUAGCGCGUGAGGAAGCGCGGGCAAACUACGUGACAGCAGGCGCGGUAAGACGUAGGUGGCAAGCGUUGUCCGGAAUGACGGGGCGUAAAGGGAGCGUAGGGGGCCUUUUAAGUCAUAUGUGACAGCCCCCGGCUGAACCGUGGAACUGCCUAUAAAACUGGAGGUCUGGAGUGCAGGAGGUGUAAGCGGAAUUUCUAUUGUAGCGGUGUAAUGCGUAGAUAUUA